rnacentral:rRNA from 1 species
GACGAACGCUGGCGGCGUGCUUAACACAUGCAAGUCGAACGGAAAGGCCCUGCUUUUGCGGGGUGCUCGAGUGGCGAACGGGUGAGUAACACGUGAGUAACCUGCCCUUGACUUUGGGAUAACUUCAGGAAACUGGGGCUAAUACCGGAUAGGAGCUCCUGCUGCAUGGUGGGGGUUGGAAAGUUGCGGCGGUUGGGGAUGUACUCGCGGCUUAUCAGCUUGUUGGUGAGGUAGUGGCUUACCAAGGCUUUGAUGGGUAGCCAGCCUGAGAGGGUGACCGGCCACAUUGUGCUAGGGGAACGGCCAAGACUGCUACGGGAGGCAGGAGUGGGGAAUAGUGCACAAUGGGCGGAAGGAUGAUGCAGCAACGCCGGGUGCGAGAUGACGGCUUUCGGGUUGUAACACGCUUUCGCGUGUGACGAAGCGUGAGUGAGGGUAAUGGGUAAAGAGGCACCGGCUAACUACGU